AGCGGGGGAGGGUCAGAGGGAGGGAGACACAGAAUCGGAAACAGGCUCCAGGCUCUGAGCCCUCAGCCCAGAGCCCGACGCGGGGCUCGAACUCACGGACCGCGAGAUCGUGACCUGAGCUGAAGUCGGAUGCUUCACCGACUGAGCCACCCAGGCGCCCCAGCGGAGGUCAUCCUAAAAGGGAGAGAAAGGAACAACGCCAAGGACGGGGAGAAAUGCAGUGACGCCCACGGAGGGCAGGCACUGAAGGUCAUGAAGGAGGGCCGUUGGCUGAAUUUCCUACCAUGCCCAGUGGGUGCAGUGAGAGGUUUCCACAUCUGCACUGAGAGGGUUUGGGCAGCAAACAGUUCCUGAGCCGGGGUUAGGGGGCUGCGGGCUGCGGGGCACUGAGAGGCCUGGGUUGGGCCUAAUGUGGGCAGGGCUCUCACACUCCCAAAGGCUGGGCAGAAAUGGCAGGUCCAGGUCCCAGCAUCACCCCCUCCCUUCCUUCAGCUAGGUUUGUCACUUCUCUGAACCUCGCUCUUCUCAUCUGUAAAUGGGGAGCACAAUCCCUGCCCCACAGUUGGGAGGGUUAGAUCCAUGCAUGUCUGGGCUGCUCCCUCCCAUUAGGCAUGGGCAUGACCCCUGCCCCCAGGGCCCUUCUAUCUGGUUGCAAAGGGAAGGCCCACGGACUUUUAAAAAAAAAUGUCACGCCCGCAGUGUGACACAUGAAGAUAUAGCAGGAGGGUUGCUGGAGACGACUUCUGGGUUCUCAGUGGUUUCCAAAGGGGGACAGGGCCAUGUGAGAGGUCUUCUGGAAGCGUCCAGAGGAGGGCCUCCGAGGAAGCGUGUGCUCGUCUGAGAAGCGACGUCAGCCAUCAGCCGGUGAGGAAUAGCCAGCAAGAGCCAAAACAAGGAAGUGGGAGAGAGCACCACAGAACGAGUGUCCAGAGCAGCCUCCGACGUCUGACAGGCUCUGAGGCCAGUGCUCAGGGAGGCCCCCAGACCAGGAACACUGGCCAGUGACACGACCCCUGCUCUUCCUGAGCCGUCUGUGCUGGGAGACCCAGCAGGGUCUGGGGAUGUGAAGGGCGUGGUUUGGGAGCCAGACAAGAGCUGCAUGACCUUGGACAAGUCACUUUACCCCUUGAACCUCAAUUUCCCCAAAUGCAAAGUGGGGGUGGUUGUGAGUUGCAACAUAUACAGCACCGCCACGGGGCCUGUCACCACGGAAAGGGGUCAUUUGGGUGGCAGCCAUGAUUAUUAUUGGGGGCUGGGAGAAGCCAGGGCCGGUUGAACCCCUUGGACCCUCCCCGGGUGCCCAGCCCGAGAUGCAUCCCUGCAGGUGCCCGGUGAAGGCUGACGGACCCACGACUGCACGAAUGGGGGAGCGGUGGCUCUGUCCCCAGGCCCGGCCCCGGGGAGGGCCUGUCUCUGGGUGCCCUGUGGACCCACAGCAGGAAGGCCGUGACCCAUAAUUAACCAAGGCCCGGCUGGGCAGGCGGCCAGGCUCUCCCUGGUGCCCACGUGAUACUCCGUCAGCCUCCAUGAGCACACGUGCCGCAAUCUGAAACCCAGCCACAGGCUGGAACCAGUUGCACAGAGAACCGAGUUGUCACAACAGGAAGGGCGUGUUUGGAGGCUGCCAGAGGGACAGUGGAGGGGGCCUGGGCCCUGUUCUCCCACACCCCGGGCCACCCAAGAGCUGCGAGGCCGCAGGUGCCUAGAACACGGCUACCGGGAGCGUGUCCUUGGCAGGGUGCUGGAUUCAGCCCUGGCCAGCCAUCCCUGACCUCGGCCUUCAAUUGUGAGGAUUGUUCGUGCUUUAGGAAUCCGCGUGCCCUGCACCUCAGGCCAACAGCUCCACUCCUGCUGCCCUCACGACCUGCCCCUGCAACAUGUCCUCCCGAGGCCUGCUUACCAUCUUGGAGGAUCUGCUCAAAUUCUGCCCUUCGCAGGAGCCUCCAGGGCCCCCAGGGCCCUUGCUUGUCCCCCAGGGAGCCUUGUCCACAGCCCCCCACCCGGCAGGAGGCGCUCAGAUGUAGAUAACGUGUGUUCUUCAUUCAUGCCUUCCUUGGUCCCCGGUAUUAUGUGUCUGCUGUGUUAGAGGGAGAGGUGGCGUCAGCGUGGGUAAAGAGCGUUGGAGAAGGAGCCAGGAGCCCCAAGUUUGGGAAGGAUCCGUGGCCCUGGGCCUUCCCUGGGCCUCUGCUUCCUCACCUUACAAGGAGUGUAGGACUCACCUGGCUGCCCUGUGGGGUCUUGGGGCUUUGAUGUUCUAUGGUCCCAGAUGCUGUCCCCAGUCUCCCCACCCCCCCCCCCCAGCCAAUCUCUCCCACCUGCCCCACUGCCAGCCCAGUACUGCUAAUGUGAAACCGUCGCCCCCUCUGCCUGUUAACCUGCUGAUCGCUUAUCCUGAUCUAGUGCGUGUCGUUCACGCACCUGGAGACGAAAAGGAAUAUUCUGAGCCUCUGCCACAAGGCGUUCACAUUCGAAACCAUUUGACCUUACCCUGGCAGCCUCUGGCUUGGAUGUAUCAUCUGCUGCCCAAACCCAGAGAGAAGAGAAAGUUGCAGGCAUGCACGGUCCACCCGCCGGGGGGGAUUGCUUGAACCUCAUAUGGAGGGUCUUGGCCCUUCCCCACCUCCCACCUCCCCUGGGGCCGUUUGGAUCGGAAGGUAACAGCCCGACAGCAAGGCCACCUCUCUGGGAACAACAUCUACCCGACAGGAAAUGCAGGAGUGGGAGAAGGAGCCAGCACGUC